AACGGUCAUACCAUGCUGAAUAUACCGGUUCUCGUUAGAUCACCGAAGUCAAGCAUCAUUGGGCGUGGUCAGUACUUGGGUGGGUGACCACCUGGGAACACCGCGUGCUGUU
rnacentral:rRNA from 1 species